rnacentral:pre_miRNA from 1 species
AAUAAGAUCAUUUUUCGGUUUUUUGAUACAAUAUUUUGACUCUUCGUCUUAUUUUAUAUAUUUUUACGAUUACUAUUUUUACUCUUACUUGAUGAUAAUAUAUAAAUAGUACUAUAUGUGUGACUAAUAUUUUUAAGUUUUUUAUAAUUUUUUUAAAUAAGACGAAUAGUCAAAACGUUGGACACAAAAAUCAAAAAAUAAAGUUAUU